rnacentral:lncRNA from 1 species
AAGGCCUCUUGGUAAAUUCAGGGCCCUGACAAUAUUUAGAAAUAGGUGAGUUCCAACUUUGUCAGUUUGUUUGCUUGAGUUUGGUACAGGGCAUGAGCAAACAAGUCAAGGUAAAUGGGAGCUAACUGACAACUUAGGCUUGAGUCCAAAUUCUCAGAAGAAGGUGGUUGUGCAACUGCAGCCUCAGCGUGAGCAGAGCCAGGGACCAGGCAUGUGGCAGCUGGAGACCAGCUUUGUGCAAACCAAAGAAAUGUCCCGCAAUAACCUAUGCAACUGUACACUGCAGCGUGAGAGUCCUUCUCAUCAGAAUUAGGGUUUAUUUGACAACACUGGACUUGGCAACACGGCCUCAAAGGAGCGGACAGCUCUCCGAUGGCAAAGUCAUGGCUGGCCAGGGGAAGAGCAGAGGUAAUGAUGUCUGCUGCCUCCUCACUAAUACAGGCAAGUACACAUCACAUAUACAAGUCUCAGAUGGAUUUCAGAUGGAAAUUCAUUAAAGGCAAGACAGAAAUUUGGAGUAAGAACGAUGUGAUAGAAGUGAGAGCAUAACAAUGAUGCAUUAAAUUACUAUGGUCAGGAAAUGGCCUCUGUAUUCAACAGGUCCGGAAAAAUCCCAUUCCGUGUCUCAUUGCUGCAGACCUUAUUGUGACUGAUAAUUUCCAGGAAAGGCAGAAACACGUGCAGCUCUGUUACUACAAGUACUUUUCAAGUGGCUUCAGAGAUGCCUGGAGUUCGUUUACACACACCCUUCUACAGAAUCCUCCCAGGAUCUUGUGCCAGUGACCACAUGUCCGGGGCACCAUUAACUCUCUGGUGACUGUACCAAGCACCUCUUUUGCACUGAAAAUGAAGGGUACACCCUGUUAGAGCAUUUCAUGCAAAUUGAAAUGCAUUGACAAGUAGAUUGCUAAAAUUUGACUUCUUAACAGGCUGAGCCUGUCCUGCUGGGAGAUGAAGCCAUUACUUCUGACCAGAUUUCAAAGCUGCUGCUUAGCUCCUUAAGGCAUCACAUAGCAACUGAUGCCUGCACUAAAUGGAAAAGUGUAUUCUUUAUGUGCACAUGCAAUUUAAUGUCUUUGCCAAACUUUUUUCACCUCCUCUGCUACUCUAAGCCAUCACCUGUUAGUGCUUGUGGUGUGCAAAUUGGAGAGUUUUCUUUAUGAGCUGCACAUAAAAUCCACACCUCUGGUCAUGCAUGAGAAACUGCUAAAAGAGGUUGAUACAGCCCUGAAACAUGUUCCGUGUUUUAUGGACAAGACCUUAAGGUUGUUUGCUUUUCAAAAAUGCACCAUGUGUCAUGCGCUGACCCUGCUGGCACUCACAGAUACUAAAUGACACACUCUUGGCAGGGA